rnacentral:rRNA from 1 species
UUUGCCUUUUAAUUGGAGGCUAGUAUGAACGGAUAAACGAGAAUAUGGCUGUCUCACUACCAGCAAUGAAAAUUAACCUUCAAGUGAAGAGGCUUGAAUUAUAUAAAAAGACGAAAAGACCCUAUGGAGCUUUACUUACAUAGAGAACGAGGCACAAUAAAAAAACUGCCAAACUCCUAAAUAGUUCAGUUGGGGCGACUGAGGAGCACUAUUAAAGCCCCCUCAACACACAAGAAAAUAAAUCUAUUAAAAAUCCACAAACGUGAAUAAAGAAUCAGCUACCCUAGGGAUAACAGGCUAAUCCUUCUCGAGAGCCCA